GGCCUCCUCCACGCCGCGACCAGCUCGUUCCCGCGGCCGCGCCGGUGCGGGUGCGGCGCCGCGAUGCGCUGCGCGAAGCGCACGGGGAAGCGGAGGUACCCGUCGGAGAAGAAGCGGCUGGACCGGCGCCACAAGGAGCUGCUCCGCCAGGCCGCCCCGGUGGAGGGCAGCGAGGGGCGGGAGUCCGGGUACUGGCGGCUCUCCAAGCUCGCCGUCCCCGCCCGCGACGACCCCGGCAAGGACUUCACCGGCAUCUCCCUGCCGCUUCUCCAGGCCAUCGCCAAAGCCAUCAAGUUCCCGUGAAUCGCCAAGGGCGGUGAAACAAAGGUCUGAUGCGUUGAAUCGUUGGCCUAAUGCACUCCGGCGCCGCUAAAAUCUUUAUCACCGAUAGAAGUGUACCUUAACCUGGUUGCUUCUAUGCUCCCUGAUGAGGCCUUCACUGUUAUCCGCAAGUCAUUCGAUGCACGGAAGGUUUUGAAAGAACCUCAGUUCACUUAUACUGUUGAUAUGGAUGUUAAGAAGCUUCUUGAUAUGGAGCCAAGGGCAUGGGAUUUUAUUGCUUGGUUGGAGCCCAAACUUGGAGUUGUAGAAUACAUGCCUAAAGAGAAGUUAGCAUCUGAUUUGGUCAGCAUGCUCAAUGCUAGCAGCAAAGGUUAUGAUAAUGAACUUGGAAUCAAGGAUACUCAUAAUGGUUCGAUCUGUCCUCAAGAUAAGAAGCCAAGAGUGGCAGUUAUAGGAAGUGGACCAUCUGGCUUGUUUGCUUCCCUUGUGCUAGGUGAGCUUGGUGCGGAAGUUACCUUAUUGGAGCGUGGUCAGCCUGUUGAACAAAGAGGGCGUGACAUUGGGGCCCUUGCAGUUAGACGAAUCCUACAAUCAGAGAGCAACUUUUGCUUUGGCGAGGUACAUGGAGUGAUGGGAAGCUCGUGACCAGGAUAGGAAGAAACACUGAUGGUGUUCAGGCUGUUAUGAAAACAUUUGUUCACUUUGGAGCCCCUCCAAACAUUUUAGUUGAUGGGAAACCUCACUUGGGUACCGAUAAACUUGUUCCUCUUCUGAGAAAUUUCAGGCACCACUUAAGAGAAUUGGGUGUUACCAUAAGAUUUAAUGCUAGAGUCGAUGACCUUAUAGUGGAAGAUGGGCAGGUAAAAGGAAUCACGGUCUCUGAUGCAGAACUACGGCCAGGUUCUGGCAGCCAGAAACUAUCAUUUGAUGCAGUUGUAUUGGCUGUUGGUCACUCAGCUCGUGACACAUAUAAUAUGCUUCAGCAGCAUAACGUAGACAUGAGCCCCAAAAGUUUUGCUGUCGGCUUAAGAAUUGAGCAUCCCCAAGAACUGAUAAACAGUAUUCAAUACUCCGAACUGGCUGCUGAAGUACAGAAAGGACGUGGGCGGAUACCUGUGGCAGAUUACAAAAUUGUGAAAUCUGUUGGCGAAAAACAUGCAGAGGAGCUUGAUAUUGCUGAACAGAGUCGCAGUUGUUACUCAUUUUGCAUGUGCCCCGGUGGGCAGGUUGUUCUAACUAGCACGGAUCCAUCAGAAUUGUGCAUCAAUGGCAUGUCAUUCUCACGGCGUGCAUCAAAGUGGGCAAACUCAGCUCUUGUGGUUACUGUAUCAUCUCAUGAUUCCAAACCAUUUCAAUCCCAUGGUCCUCUUGCAGGCGUUGAAUUCCAUGUACUUGUUGCAGGAAUUCUCUGUGAUAACAACAGAACCAUUCAAAUAACUAACUUGUGUAAUGUCUAAGUUUUCAAAUCCUGCAUGCUCCAUAAGUAAACAUGUUAAAUCAGUCAAAGAGGGUUGGAGGGUUGUGUGUUUCAACUAUGACAGGAAUGCGAGUAUGUCACAAGAGCUUUCUUUUUUUUUGGUUUUUUUAGUACCAUAUAAUCUCCAAGCUUAACUUACCCUAUGGCAAUGGCCUUUUUCUAUUUUGCUAUGUAGUGAUUUGUCCUCAUGUUUUAAUCAGUUAUUUCUGUUUUUGAACAUGGAAACAUAUCAGUAGAAACCUUAAGAUAUAAAGGCAGUGUCCGCAACUAGAUAUGCAUGGUGCGGGCAAUAUUCCUGGUCACUCAAUCGUGCUGUGCUUGUAGCAGUUUCAUAUCCAAAUUGGGUAGGAAUGAAUGAAUGACAUGAUUAUAAACUAUCCCUAUCGGUCAUGCAAUUCUAUCUGUUACUUUUGAAGUGUUAGCUGUUCUGAAAGGGUAUUGGAGGAUUGAUUCUGGAGUUAGAUUAGUUAAUCUUCUGUUGUGGAAUUAUAUCCAGGGGGCUGUUUCCAUAUAUUGUUUAAAAUAUAGACUCAAUUAUUCAAGUAAAAAUUUUAUACAAAUGAUGCAACAAUUAAUGCAAAAUAAUCCUAUCAUCAGCUUAAGCAAUUAGAUGGACUGGUUUUUUCAUUCAGCUCAACUGUAAUUAAUGCAAAAUAAUUUCACCUUCAAUUGCUGUCAUGUAUCUUAAAAGUUACCAUGGUUGUGCACCUAUGAACUAGAAUAUAAGGUAGGUACUCAUAAAUGUGGCAUUGCCUGCCUUACUUUUUGCACAACUUCUUUUCUUCAUUGUUACUGCAUUACAGUGGAAAAUUCUCCCAAGCUCACAAAAUUUUUUUUACACAUUGAAAAACAGAGAGAAUUCGAAAGAAGAGCAGCUGUGAUGGGUGGAGGGAAUUUUGUUGUCCCGGCUCAGCGUGUCACAGAUUUUAUUAGCAACAUAUUGUCAGUUACAACUCUCCCACCAUCAAGCUACAGGUUAGGAGUUCGUCCAUCCAAACUUCAUGAACUAUUCCCUCCUUACAUAACUGAAGCUCUACAACAGUCUAUAAUUAUGAUUGACAGAGAGAUGCCAGGCUUCGUUUCUAGUGAAGCCCUACUUCAUGGUGUGGAGACUAGGACGAGCUCUCCCUUGCAAAUUUCACGACAUGGAGAGACAUAUGAAAGCACAUCAUUGCGAGGAUUAUAUCCAAUCGGCGAAGGUGCUGGCUAUGCUGGGGGUAUCUUAAGUGCUGCUGUGGAUGGUAUGUGUUGUGGUUUUGCUUUAGCCAAACAGCUUUCUCUAUUCCAUGGUGAUAUAGAGUCUUUCCUUGGCAAAGCACAAAACCAAACAGGUUUUGUAAAAUAUUGAAUGUUGGUGUCUAGUUUUUUUUAGGCACAACAUUUUCAGAAAGAGAAAAUCUCACCAUGCUAAUGUAGUAAGUAGGGAAUUUUUGCCACGUGGAACAGCUUUGAUAGGUGAACUCAUCAAAUAAUUUUGGCCCUGUUGAUGUAGAAGAGGAGAGCAAUUAUAGCUAGGUGAAUGUUCUGGAAUAGAUAAGCAAUGUAACAAAUACAACUCCCUAGCUGGGUAACAAAUACAACUCCCUAGCUAGCGUGAUUCAGAGCUUUUCAUUGAAGUUGCUCAAGGGCUUUUGUUUGAAAGAAACGGGCGCCAUUGAUCUU